rnacentral:lncRNA from 1 species
CUUGCGUGUAUCUGUGAAAGAGACCCAGGUGCCAUGAGGCUAGGAAGGCUGGGAUUUCGCAGCUCUUUGCACUGAAACUGCUGUUUCCUUGCUGGUGCUGCUGGAGAUGAAAAUCCACCAUCCUCCAGAAACCCAAAUCUCUCCUGGCACCAGCUCCCGGUGGCCAGCAAGUCCUAUCAUCAACUGGAAGAAAUGAAUGACAUGCUCUCCGCAUCACACUCACUUAGAGGGGUCACACAGCAAAGCUGCUUAAGCCCCUGAAGCAUUUGAGUUUAGAGAUGUCUCCCCUUCAGUUGACAGCUGUGACUUUCCAGAAAACACAUAUGCCACUGUGAGGUAGGGUAGUUUCUUGUAUUCAUUAUACAGUACCCAGAGCUCCUCCCUGUGCUGUUUAUGCUGUCAGAUAUCUUGUUUACCACGAAAGACACCAUCCCCCAUCAUGGGGGUCCCCGAAACUGGACCACCAUCCAAGCUAUCUAAAUUCAUUAGUCCCAGUAGCAUAUGUCCAAACUCAAAUGUGGAUGAGUCAGGAGACUUCACUUCUUAGAGGCUGCAAAUAGACAACCAGAAAAAGGAUUCUCAUCUAAUUCUGUUCAUCUGGUCGUUCAAAUUCUGGUUCCUACUCCACCCAAAACACCAUUACAUGAGCCUGAGAAAUGACUGGAUUACACAGACAAAUACAUUCUCAAUGCGUUCCUUGGGAUUGUGGGAUUAAGCUGAUUUUCUGCCCUUCGCAUCUUUCUUUGCAGUAAAGACUUUC